rnacentral:rRNA from 1 species
AGCGAACGCUGGCGGCAGGCCUAACACAUGCAAGUCGAACGAAGUCUUCGGACUUAGUGGCGGACGGGUGAGUAACACGUGGGAACGUGCCUUUAGGUUCGGAAUAACUCAGGGAAACUUGUGCUAAUGCCGAAUGUGCCCUUCGGGGGAAAGAUUUAUCGCCUUUAGAGCGGCCCGCGUCUGAUUAGCUAGUUGGAGAGGUAAUGGCUCACCAAGGCGACGAUCAGUAGCUGGUCUGAGAGGAUGACCAGCCACAUUGGGACUGAGACGCGGCCCAAACUCCUACGGGAGGCAGCAGUGGGGAAUCUUGCGCAAUGGGCGAAAGCCUGACGCAGCCAUGCCGCGUGGAUGAUGAAGGUCUUAGGAUUGUAAAAUCCUUUCACCGGUGAAGAUAAUGACUGUAGCCGGAGAAGAAGCCCCGGCUAACUUCGUGCCAGCAGCCGCAGUAACAC